rnacentral:lncRNA from 1 species
ACAAUGCAUAAUAUAUGCAAGGUCCGGGAUUCAAACCCCAGACACCACAAAAAAAAAUGACUUUGUAACUUUAGACAAUUUUCUGACAAAAAAAAAAAAAAAACUGGUCAAAUUUUUUGCAAUGUGACUUAAAACUCCACAUUAUUUUGGGGUUUCAUUUUCAUUCUUGUUCAGCACACAUGACAUCUCAAAUGUAUUUAGUCUUGCAAUUUCCAGUUACUGACAACCUUAGCUAUAUAAUACAGAAAGAUUAAUUCACCUGCUGCAGGAAAAUGCUACUAUAAAAUCGUAGCAGAGGCUUUGUUUCGAAUAGGAUCAUGUCAUGACAUCUUCAUUGUUUCAAUUUGGCUGCCCAUUCUUCUAAAUCAUGCAGAAUUGAAAGGCUUGGGCAAGCAAAGCUUCUCAACCAUUCCUUCCUCAAUUGUUGACUUUAUGGGUGUAACUUUGAUUUCAUACAACUCUGGCCACAGUUUUCCGGUCACUGAAACCAAGAACAAAAGUCAC